rnacentral:rRNA from 1 species
UUGCACGCUGGCGGCAUGCUUUACACAUGCCAGUCGAACGGUAACAGGCCUUCGGGUGCUGACGAGUGGCGAACGGGUGAGUAAUGCAUCGGAACGUACCCGGAGGUGGGGGAUAACGCAGCGAAAGCUGUGCUAAUACCGCAUGUGAUCUGAGGAUGAAAGCGGGGGACCGAGCAGCAAUGUUUGGCCUCGCGCCUUUGGAGCGGCCGAUGUCGGAUUAGCUAGUUGGUGGGGUAAAGGCCUACCAAGGCGACGAUCCGUAGCUGGUCUGAGAGGACGACCAGCCACACUGGGACUGAGACACGGCCCAGACUCCUACGGGAGGCAGCAGUGGGGAAUUUUGGACAAUGGGCGCAAGCCUGAUCCAGCAAUGCCGCGUGCGGGAAGAAGGCCUUCGGGUUGUAAACCGCUUUUGGCAGGAACGAAACGGUGUCCGCUAAUACCGGGCGCUAAUGACGGUACCUGCAGAAUAAGCACCGGCUAACUACGUG